rnacentral:misc_RNA from 1 species
GAUGAAGAACGUAGCGAAAUGCGAUAAGUAAUGUGAAUUGCAGAAUUCAGUGAAUCAUCGAAUCUUUGAACGCACAUUGCGCCCCUUGGUAUUCCGAGGGGCAUGCCUGUUCGAGCGUCAUUAUAACCCCUCAAGCUCAGCUUGGUGUUGGGGCCUGCCGCACGGGCAGCCCUUAAAAUCAGUGGCGGUGCCAUCUGGCUCUAAGCGUAGUAAUUCUUCUCGCUAUAGAGUCCCGGUGGAUGCUUGCCAUUAACCCCCAAUUUUCUAUGGUUGACCUCGGAUCAGGUAGGGAUACCCGCUGAACUUAAGCAUAUCAAUAAGCGGAGGA